ensembl:misc_RNA Metazoa_SRP Metazoan signal recognition particle RNA
GCUGGGCGCAGUGGCACAUGCCUGUAGUCCCAGCUACUUGGGAGGCUGAGGCUGAAGGAUCACUUGAGUCCAGGAGUUCUGGGCUGUAGUGCACUAUGCGGAUCUGAUGUCUGCACUAAGUUCGACAUCAAUAUGGUGACCUCUGGGGAGCGGGGGACCACCAGGUUGCCUAAAGAGGGGUGAACUGGCCUAGGUCGGAAACGGAGCAGGUCAAAACUCCCAUGCUGAUCAGUAGUGGGAUCGCAACUGUGAAUAGCCACUCGCUCCAGCCUGUGCAAUAUAGCGAGUCCCUGUCUCUA